rnacentral:rRNA from 1 species
AGGGAAUCUUCGGCAAUGGGGGCAACCCUGACCGAGCAACGCCGCGUGAGUGAAGAAGGUUUUCGGAUCGUAAAGCUCUGUUGUAAGUCAAGAACGGGUGUGAGAGCGGAAAGUUCACACUGUGACGGUAGCUUACCAGAAAGGGACGGCUAACUACGUGCCAGCAGCCGCGGUAAUACGUAGGUCCCGAGCGUUGUCCGGAUUUAUUGGGCGUAAAGCGAGCGCAGGCGGUUUGAUAAGUCUGAAGUUAAAGGCUGUGGCUCAACCAUAGUUCGCUUUGGAAACUGUCAAACUUGAGUGCAGAAGGGGAGAGUGGAAUUCCAUGUGUAGCGGUGAAAUGCGUAGAUAUAUGGAGGAACACCGGUGGCGAAAGCGGCUCUCUGGUCUGUAACUGACGCUGAGGCUCGAAAGCGUGGGGAGCGAACAGGAUUAGAUACCCUGGUAGUCCACGCCGUAAACGAUGAGUGCUAGGUGUUGGAUCCUUUCCGGGAUUCAGUGCCGCAGCUAACGCAUUAAGCACUCCGCCUGGGGAGUACGACCGCAAGGUUGAAAC